UUGGCUUAGAAGCAGCCAUCAUUUAAAGAAAGCGUAAUAGCUCACUGGUCGAGUCGGCCUGCGCGGAAGAUGUAACGGGGCUAAACCAUGCACCGAAGCUGCGGCAGCGACACUAUGUGUUGUUGGGUAGGGGAGCGUUCUGUAAGCCUGUGAAGGUGUACUGUGAGGUAUGCUGGAGGUAUCAGAAGUGCGAAUGCUGACAUAAGUAACGAUAAAGCGGGUGAAAAGCCCGCUCGCCGGAAGACCAAGGGUUCCUGUCCAACGUUAAUCGGGGCAGGGUGAGUCGACCCCUAAGGCGAGGCCGAAAGGCGUAGUCGAUGGGAAACAGGUUAAUAUUCCUGUACUUGGUGUUACUGCGAAGGGGGGACGGAGAAGGCUAUGUUGGCCGGGCGACGGUUGUCCCGGUUUAAGCGUGUAGGCUGAUUUUCCAGGCAAAUCCGGAAAAUCAAGGCUGAGGCGUGAUGACGAGGCACUACGGUGCUGAAGCAACAAAUGCCCUGCUUCCAGGAAAAGCCUCUAAGCAUCAGGUAACAUCAAAUCGUACCCCAAACCGACACAGGUGGUCAGGUAGAGAAUACCAAGGCGCUUGAGAGAACUCGGGUGAAGGAACUAGGCAAAAUGGUGCCGUAACUUCGGGAGAAGGCACGCUGAUAUGUAGGUGAAGCGACUUGCUCGUGGAGCUGAAAUCAGUCGAAGAUACCAGCUGGCUGCAACUGUUUAUUAAAAACACAGCACUGUGCAAACACGAAAGUGGACGUAUACGGUGUGACGCCUGCCCGGUGCCGGAAGGUUAAUUGAUGGGGUUAGCGGUAACGCGAAGCUCUUGAUCGAAGCCCCGGUAAACGGCGGCCGUAACUAUAACGGUCCUAAGGUAGCGAAAUUCCUUGUCGGGUAAGUUCCGACCUGCACGAAUGGCGUAAUGAUGGCCAGGCUGUCUCCACCCGAGACUCAGUGAAAUUGAACUCGCUGUGAAGAUGCAGUGUACCCGCGGCAAGACGGAAAGACCCCGUGAACCUUUACUAUAGCUUGACACUGAACAUUGAGCCUUGAUGUGUAGGAUAGGUGGGAGGCUUUGAAGUGUGGACGCCAGUCUGCAUGGAGCCGACCUUGAAAUACCACCCUUUA
rnacentral:rRNA from 1 species